rnacentral:snRNA from 1 species
GUGCUCCCUUUGGCAGCACAAAUAGUAAAAUUGCAAUGAUACAGAGACACUUAGCAUGGCCCUGGUCAAGGAUGACACGCAGAUCCAUGAAGCGUUCCAUAUUUUU